AACGAACGCUGGCGGCAUGCCUAACACAUGCAAGUCGAACGGGAUCCUAGCUUGCUAGGUGAGAGUGGCGGACGGGUGAGUAACACGUGGGAAUCUGCCUUUUUGGUUCGGGAUAACCGCGGGAAACUGCGGCUAAUACCGAAUGCCCUCGAGAGAGGAAAGAUUUAUCGCCAGAAGAGGAGCCCGCGUCCGAUUAGGUAGUUGGUGGGGUAAAAGGCCUACCAAGCCGACGAUCGGUAGCUGGUCUGAGAGGAUGAUCAGCCACACUGGGACUGAGAUACGGCCCAGACUCCUACGGGAGGCAGCAGUGGGGAAUAUUGGACAAUGGGGGCAACCCUGAUCCAGCAAUGCCGCGUGAGUGAUGAAGGCCUUAGGGUGUAAAGCUCUUUUGCCAGGAGAUGAUGACUGUACCUGGAGAAUAAGCCCCGGCUAACUUCGUGCCAGCAGCCACGGUAAU
rnacentral:rRNA from 1 species